UGGGGAAUUUUCCGCAAUGGGCGAAAGCCUGACGGAGCAAUGCCGCGUGGAGGUAGAAGGCCCACGGGUCGUAAACUCCUUUUCUCAGAGAAGAAGCAAUGACGGUAUCUGAGGAAUA
rnacentral:rRNA from 1 species